rnacentral:pre_miRNA from 1 species
AAUCGCCUAACCUCUCGUAUGCCAAUAGAGCAGAUCGAGAUGAAUAGAAAAUAUCGCAAAAUGGUAUGGGACUCUUCUGUUCAUCUCGAUCUGCUCUAUUGGCAUACGAGAGGUUAAGCGAUU